GCCCUCCCUUCAGCACCACAUAUACUAAAACUGGACGGAUAAAGAGAAAAUUAGCAUGGUUCCUGCACAAGGAUGACAUGCAAAUUCAUGAAGCAUUCCAUAAAAAU